rnacentral:tRNA from 1 species
GGGAAUAUGGCUCAGUGCUAGAGCGCUUGCCUAGCAUGCAUGAAGCCCUGGGUUCAUUCCUCAGUACCA